UCUCCGUUGGUGAACCAGCGGAGGGAUCAUUACAGAGUUUUCACAACUCCCAACCCUUACGAACCGUACCCAUUCUGUUCUCGUUGCUUCCGGCGGGGGGGACGGGGGGGCCCGAGACGGCCUCCCCUCCCCGCCCGCCGGGCGCGGCGGGCCCUCCGAACCCUUUUAUCUCCACCACCCCAAACCGUCUGAGAAAACAAACCAAAAAAUCAAAACAUUCAACAACCUAUCUCUUUGAUCUUGCAUCGAUGAAGAACGCCGCAGAACGGCAGAGCACAA
rnacentral:misc_RNA from 1 species